GAGGAAAACAUUCGCUCAGACAACUCCGGUAUCAGCACGUGGUCGUGCGUUAGAACAUAAGUUGUAUGUAAACAGCUGUCAAUAGUAUUAUUAGAGCGAGCUCUUAUAGGGGUUUAUCUGAAGUUUUGGCUGUGGUAUUGGCUGUACCAUUAUUGAUUGACGUUGUGGAGAAUUGGCCCAGACGUGAAAUCCCACGUGGCCUUGAUUGGCGAUCGCCGGUAUAUAACGCUACACAUUUCAGGAAGAAGUUACAGUCAAUUUUACAAGGAUGCCACUCGAAAAUUAAGCCUUCCUCGUAUUUACACACCAUGAAACUACUGAACUUUCUGGUUGUCCUCUUUUGUGUAUUCUGUACCGUCGUCUCACAGAUGAGCUAUCCAUCUAUAUCGAGAUGGCAAUGCUUCCUAAAGUGUAGAUAUCAGAAGCGUACAUUAAACGUGGAGAUGUUUGAAAUUGGUCGUUGUUUGUGCGAAGAUUAGUCUUCGAAUCAGGGAGUUCUCUACCCAGAUUAAGGAUCAAUUCCUGGGACGACAUAGAAAAUGAUCAAUUUCGUCCAAUUUCAGACUUUCGUAAAAUUAACAAAUUGGAAUUGUGAUGAGCCGAAUUAUUGAAAUGGACAAGACUGUUUUAUAUGAUUAUAAACAAAAAUUGUAAUUCAUCCAAAUGAUAAGAAUUGUAUUUCCGGCAUAAAAUGAAAAUUUCCUCGACGAAUUCAUGUUGAAACUAAAUUGUUUUUUAAACCGGAGUGAAAGAUUUAAAAGGUUAUGGAAUUGUUGUAAUUAAUUGAGUAUAGAACUUGAAUAAAACAAAAGAACU